UGGGGAAUAUUGGACAAUGGGCGAAAGCCUGAUCCAGCCAUGCCGCGUGUGUGAAGAAGGUCUUCGGAUUGUAAAGCACUUUAAGUUGGGAGGAAGGGCAGUAAGCGAAUACCUUGCUGUUUUGACGUUACCGACAGAAUAAGCACCGGCUAACUCUGUGCCAGCAGCCGCGGUAAUACAGAGGGUGCAAGCGUUAAUCGGAAUUACUGGGCGUAAAGCGCGCGUAGGUGGUUCGUUAAGUUGAAUGUGAAAGCCCCGGGCUCAACCUGGGAACUGCAUCCAAAACUGGCGAGCUAGAGUAGGGCAGAGGGUGGUGGAAUUUCCUGUGUAGCGGUGAAAUGCGUAGAUAUAGGAAGGAACAACAGUGGCGAAGGCGACCACCUGGGCUCAUACUGACUCUGAGGUGCGAAAGCGUGGGGAGCAAACAGG
rnacentral:rRNA from 1 species